GGAGGAUGCGAGCGUUAUCCGGAUCUAUNGGGUNUAAAGGGUGCGUAGGCGGGACGGCAAGUCAGCGGUAAAAGACUGCAGCUAAACUGUAGCACGCCGUNGAAACUGUUGACCUCGAGACGAGACGAGGGAGGCGGAACAAGUGAAGUAGCGGUGAAAUGCAUAGAUAUCACUUGGAACCCCGAUAGCGAAGGCAGCUUUCCCAGGCUCGGUCUGACGCUGAUGCGCGAGAGCGUGGGUAGCGAACAGGAUUAGAUACCCUGGUAGUCCACGCCGUAAACGAUGCUCACUGGAUCUUGGCGAUACACAGCCAGGGUUCAAGCGAAAGUAUUAAGUGAGCCACCUGGGGAGU
rnacentral:rRNA from 1 species